rnacentral:rRNA from 1 species
UACGUAGGGGGCAAGCGUUGUCCGGAAUCAUUGGGCGUAAGGAGCGUGUAGGCGGCCCGAUAAGUCCGCUGUGAAAGUCCAGGGCUCAACCCUGGAAUGCCAGUGGAAACUGUCGGGCUGGAGUCCGGAAGAGGCGAGUGGAAUUCCUGGUGUAGCGGUGAAAUGCGCAGAUAUCAGGAGGAACACCAAUGGCGAAGGCAGCUCGCUGGGACGGUACUGACGCUGAGACGCGAAAGCGUGGGGAGCAAACAGG